CAUUGCAGGAAACCUUCCACGCCAGAAGCUUUGACCUUUGGAGGUACAGGACAAUCCCAGAUAAGCUUCCACGCCGGUCUUUCGCCAUCCGGCAUGCAACUCGUUGCACCACGGUCUGGAUCCUGCAUGAGACAGUUCAGGCCAAGGCGAUAAGCGCUCUUUACAGUGAAAUUACCUCGUUUUUCUGGAAACCAAGCAACGAAGUCGUCGUCAUUGUGUUGUGAGGGUUGGAUCUUUAGAAUUUCUGUUAUGUUUUCCUCUGUAAAGUACUACUCUAAACGUUGUAGGUUCCAGGCACCCUCUGGUAGCAGAAAAUCUGCAACCCAGCGGUACCUACAUCGUCCUUGGCUUGAUCGCGGGAGGUGGUUCGAUUCCCUGGGUAUCCGGGGAUCCCGCCAUGCACAUAUCUUCGACCCAUGAAUUUGCAAUGGACCUGUCAUCAAUCACAAGCAUCAUCCUUAAUGUGGACCAUUGUGUGUACACCAAAUUUGACGUCUCUACCAUGGAUACUGGCUGGAACUGUCUUGCUCGCCUACUGCAGUUGCUCCCUGGACCCUAACUUGAAGUCUUCAAGUGUGGAAGACUAAUCUACUCUGUUUGGUCUAGAUCUAAAUCUGGAGGUCUUUAAAGGUGGGUCUGGUGUUGGGUACUGGAAGGUCUUCCAUGUUUCCCAUCAAUUUGCCUUUGCCCUAUUCCCCUGGGAGAAGGCACUGGUGUUGGGUAUCUAUGCCCGAUUUCGCAGGUGCCCAUUUGGCCUAGCCCUUGAGUUCUAGUCAGUGAACGAUUGAACCAUGAAUUGCAGUCUUUUCUCCUACCUAAAUGUUCCUAGGAACAACCACAUUUACACGAGUGAUGCUAGCGUCAAUGUAUUAUCAGGGAACUUUUAAUUUAGACUUCAUAGUUAAAUAGUGGUCUCGGCUGACUAUUGAAGCUCUCUGCUAUGGUAAAUCUGUAUACGCAUAACCGCACAACAUAGUUGAAAUAAUUUUCCCCAUGUACAUUUUGACUGUCGGUGAGGUUGCUUUCAUUAUCGUCAAUCUGAGAAUGUAUCUAUUCUUCAUCUUUCGAAAAAUUUAAAAAGAUCUUUGGAAAAAGGUUUGUGUACCAAGAACCCCAUAAAUAAAUUUGAAAAAUCUGAGAAUGGUUACAACUAAUUAUGUUGUGCUUACUUCAACAGGUCAAGAGAUCCCCAGCGAUGCAGGUCAAUAAUGUGAGGACUGAGGAUGGCGAGAUGAGGAAAAAGACGGGUGAGAUGACGGUGAGCCUUGGCCACUGCCCCGAUUCACCGCCGCUGCCGCUACUGCUGGAAGUCGACCACCUGCUGGAGGAGAUCCUCCUCCGCCUCCACCCACUGCCGUCAUCCCUCCCGCGCGCCUCCCUCGUCUCCCAUCGCUGGCGCCGUCUUGUCUCCGAUCCCGGAUUCUUCCGCCGCUUCCGCCUCCACCACCGCCGGAAUCCUCCACACCUAGGCUUCUUCGAUGUGGAUUCCCACGACCUCCACUUCGUACCAGCCCUGGAUGCCCCUGAUCGUGUCCCGCCUGGGCGAUUCUCCUUGCAGUUCAACGAAGGUGACAAGUUCCAUCUCCUCGGAUCUCGCCAUGGCCUCGUACUCGUCCUCCAACCACCACGGAAGCAGCUCUUGGUGUGGGAUCCAAUCACUGCUGACCAACACCACAUUAACCUUCCCCCAGGGUUUGCAGGACCUGUGUUCGCGAUCCAUGGAGCUGUACUUCGCGAUGCCGUAGAUGCUCAACACUUCCAGGUGGUCUUGGUAGAUGUAGAAGCCGAAGACCCUCAUCAUAGCCGAGUGCUCGCCUGUGUUUAUUCAUCGGAGACCGGCGUAUGGGGUGAUCUCAUCUCGGCACCGCUUCCGCCCAUGGUUCCUUCGAGUAACCGUGUCGUCUUUGUUUAUCCAACCAAGCCGGCUGUGUUGGUUGAGAAUUCCCUUUACUGGAUCCUUGAUGGGGAUUUGGUUGGUAUUCUUGAGUUUGAUUUAGAGAGGAAGAGCAUAGCUGUGAUACAGCCGCCAGUAGAUGUGCUUACCAAAAGUAAAUAUCAAUAUACAGUUAUGUGGACUGAGGGUGGUGGGCUUGGUUUCCUCUUUGUGUCAAGAUCACAAUACAACGCACAAUUAUGGAAAAGGAAGACCAAUCUCGAUGGUGUUGCGUCCUGGGUGCUGGAAAGAACUAUUGAACUGGAGAAACUACUUUCCCUGAAUUCUGGGGCAAGAGUGAACCUGUGCGUAAGAGGGUUUGCUGAGGACAAUAAUGUGCUCUUCCUGGGGACACCUAUUGGCGUAUUCAUGAUCCAUAUUGAGUCACUGCAGUUCAAGAAACUUCCGGACCACACGUUGGUUUCUUGCAAUCAUUCAUUUGAAAGUGUCUAUGCAGCAGGUACCUGAGUUGCAUUGGGGUGGCUAAGACGCAGAGAGAGUUUUUGGGUGUAGUUUCUUCCAUUCAUAUGCUGGACCCGUAGGUUGACCUCAAUGUAGCAUGCGCCGGUGAGCUAUGAAGUGUAGCUGUGGGAAUUAUUAAACCUUAAAUUUGCUAACUUCCUAUUGUUAUCCGAUUUCCGUAUACAUUCCCAUCUGUCAUGAAGGUUGAAUGCACCUGCCUUGGUCUAACGAUUCAACCAGGUUCCUAUAUGGCUUUCUCUGUUAUAUUCAUGAAUAUGAAUAUGAAUAUAUAGCUCCUCGAACUUUUCGGUAUUCUUCUCCUUCCUUGAAUCGUUGGAAACAGUAUGGCUGAUUGUAUAUUGAACCUACCGUGGGAUCAAGUAAAUCAUUAUCUGUCA